GACAGAGGUGCCGAGCGUUAGGCGGAAUCACUGGGCUUAAAGCGUGUGUAGGCGGGGCGUUAAGUGCUUUGUGAAAUCCCACGGCUCACCCGUGGAACUGCUUGGUAUACUGGCGCUCUUGAGCCACUUAGGGGCAACUGGAACAAACGGUGGAGCGGUGAAAUGCGUAGAUAUCGUUUGGAACGCCAAAGGUGAAAACAGGUUGCUGGGAGUGUGCUGACGCUGAGACACGAAAGCCAGGGGAGCGAACGGG
rnacentral:rRNA from 1 species